AGAUCUUGGAUAGGUUACAUGAAUCAUUCAGUCCUAUAGAAUGUGUACACUGCUAGUUUAUACAUCUGUAAAAAAUGAUAACCUAUAUAACCUUGGGGUUAUGAAUAUACCUCCAGUAGCAUGAACGGUUUAUAUGUGGUGAUAAAAAUGGAUGAGAUGAUGGUAUUGUAUAUUUAAAGUACUGAGAAUACACUUAUUUUACCAUCCACUUCCAUCAAAGUAAGAAAAAAAAAAAACCCUUGAAAAACAUUGUUUCAAAUGAUAAAACAGAUGAGACAACAAAUGGAUUUUUUUUUAAAAAAAUCUACUCUUUCAAAGUGGUUAAUGCAAAAAAAAAAAAGACUGCUACUUCCAUCCUUGCCUUUUUCAUGUGUACAUCAUGUAAUCAGUAUUAGAAAUCCAUCCCUUAAUAGAGUGUUUAAAAGUUGAAUGACAUAUGGAAGAAUUGGUACUUGAAUAUAAUACUGUAUAACAAGUGAAAUGAUUUAAUAUAUUUUUUUCUGUUAAAACUCAUGCACAAUUCUUUUAAGUUUCUAUUGUUGCCAUGUUAUGGUAGAAAGCAGGACCCUAUUUGCAUUGACUGAAGGCAGGCUAUAGGCAACACUAUCACAUGUGCACCUUGAAACAAGCUUAGGCAAGGCAAUUAUGAGAAGAAGCUGCCAAGGAAGAAGACAAGGGUUGUUUCUAUGAAAGGAAUAUUGACAGUGUGAUAAAGAAAAAAAUGAAUCCAGCACUGAAGAACAAAGCAAUUGGCAGCAGGCCAUAUCGCAUAAUGUUCUACUGCCAUGAAAAGAAUAUUGCUGUCCCUGUCAAAGUGAACUAAUUAAUUGUUACAACAUGACAGACGAAUGUGAACAGUCAGAGAUAUUGUCCAGAACUGAAGAGCUUGUAUGAGCAGUGAAGCUGAUCCAAGGGACAGUAAAGGCCCCAGCUGAUUUGAUACAUUCUGUCUGGUCCUGAAUGCUAGAUAAGAUAGCAACAAUCACAUCUCCCAAGCUGAUUUCAAUGAUGACCUCAUCAAAAAUAUUCACCUUGUAUUUUAUCACCUAUGAAGAACAUCUGAGUAGCUCCAGAUUAUUAUAUAAAGGCAACUGAACUGUCUAUUCAAUAAAUUCAUGCCACACCCACUGGUCAGUGCAAAACGAUAUCAAGUUACAGGAGCCCUGGCUCAAGAACCCCAGUAUUAUAAAAUAAAUAAAUUCUUUUAAUGCUG